CCGUUUUCGAGAACAUUUGGUGGACGGUGGUUAGACUUCGUCCCGGGAACGAGACCUUCUAAGGGUCAAGGCGAGAACCUGAGAUCUCGACUGAAAUUAUUUGUUUGUUCAAGUGAGGAAUCAGGGAAAGCUUUUCCACUCAACAGCAAAGAAAAUCAAAUUAGUGUUACUUGCUUCUCAAACUGAAUGGUCAGCUUAAAUGGCACUAUAGUCUUAACAGGAUUUAGUCAAACUCUAGCGUGUCCUCCGACGUUUAAACACGAGCUCAAGAGAAUUCACACGUGACAUUCAGCAGAUACAAAUCUCCUUAGGGAAGUGUUGAGGACGUUUGUUUACCUCCUUUUAUUAUUGAAGUAGAUUAUGUACUCCUGUAGUAAGUUCCAAAACGGAAAGUGGUCCUGAACGUUGAAAAGGAGCCACGAAACUAGAUACAUCCCAUCAACAUACAGAUGACCUCAGGGUAGUGAUGUUAAGUACGUCGUUGCUUGAACAACCAAGAAUCUGUUUUCUAAUCAGUGAUCGUCUGAGGAACUGCUCCUCACAAAACUGGCAUGAUCCUUUUUGGAUUUGUUGAUGUGGAGAUGACGAGCAGCUGUGCCAGAAGGGGUUUCCAGACAAGGAGACAUUCCAGAGAAAUAUUCCAGAGCACAGCAGCUGUGCACAGCUUUCGGUUUGCUAGAACAGCAUAGAAACCUUUUGUGAUUGCUGCGCAUACACAAUUUUGCUAGCCAUCCGAGGCGUCCUUGACCUGGGAACCACUUUAACUAGUCGAAAUGGCAGUUGUACGGAUGGAGAGCAUUCCGCCAAAUGCAGAUAAUUAUACAUUUUGUCUUGAGAAGAAACACGUCAUUCUACUGGUUUGGCUCAGGGCAAAUGUAAUGUAAAACUGGAAAUAAAGAAAACUCGACUCUGAGGCAGCAUUGCCAUGGCCGGUGGAGGGAGAGAGGAGCGCCCUCAGCAGCUGGCAACCAACCAGAUUUCGUCUUCCAUAUUGAAGAGAAUUCGAAUCGCUGAAUUUGUGGUCUUGUCAAAUCAGUAACAGUGGCGUGAUUACACAUAAAUCUGAUGUCAAAAGUGCCUAAAAUAUACACAGUUCAAAGGUCUCCUUUCCCUCUACCCUCCACCCUUAUGAUAUACCCCCUCCUCCCCCUCGCACUCCACCUUCCCCCUCCUCCUCCCACCCCUUGCCUUAUAUAUCCGAUAAAAAAAAAGACAGAUGUAGAAAAAAUUAAAAUUUACGACCAAUUUUACAUCCUAGACAGAGAGAACGCAUCCAACCGCCAUUGGUCAGUCAUGUACCUCAGGAUUUUCG